rfam:Triticum urartu cultivar G1812 contig131217, whole genome shotgun sequence.
GUCCUACUCCCUCCGUUCUAAAUUACUUGUCGCAAGUAUGGAUGUGUCUAGAUGUAUUUUAGUUCUAGAUACAUCCAUUUCUGCGACGAGUAAUUUGGAACGGAGGGAGUAAUUC